GCUGGGUGUGGUGGUGCACGCCUGUAAUCACAGCUACUUAGAAUGCUGAGGUAGGAGGAUCAUGAGUUCAAAGCCAGCCUCAGCAAAAACAAGGCACUAAGCAACUCAGUGAGACCCUGUCUCUA
rnacentral:sRNA from 1 species